rnacentral:lncRNA from 1 species
CAUGCGUCCGUCCUCCUCCCCACCUCGUGGCCGGCAGCAGCCCUCCAGCUUUGGCUCCGUGGACUGGCUCUCCCAGAACAGCUGCUCAGGGCCGACCCACACCCCCAGGCCUGCCGACGUCUCCCCGGGGAGCCACCCUGGCCCGGGCCAGACAUCCGGCACCCGGGAGCCCCCUCAGGCCGUCAGCAUCAAGAAGGCUCGGUCCUCAAAUCUGCCUGCGCCGGAGAGGGCCGUGGCUGGGUUGGGUAAGAAGCCAAACCCCUGGCAGGCCCCCUGUGUAGGCACAGCCUUCACCACCGAGCAGGUCCGCGCCUUGGAGGGCGUCUUCCAGCACCACCAGGACCUGGGCCCUCUGGAACGGAAAAGGCUGGCAGGGAGAUGCAGCUCUCGGACGUCUAGACAAAAACCUGGUUUCAAAAACGCCAGAUGAAACAGAAACGACAAACGCAGGACUCCCAGCUGAACAGCCCCUUCUCUGUGUCUCUCCACGCGCCCCCUGCUUUCCACUCACCGUCUUCUGGCCUUGUCAAUACCUGCAGCUGCCGUGCCCUUGGGCACCCCUGCCAGGGCCCCAGGCUCUGAUGCUGCCCCCUGGCUCUCUCUGGGGUCUCUGCCAAGUGGAACAAGAGGCCCUGGCCUCUGCGGGGGUUUCCUGCUAUGGGCAGCCUCUGGCGUACCACCGGCCAAGCCCAGGAAGUGGCGUGCGUACGCUGGGACCAGCUCUGUCCACGGGGCCCUGGGGCCUGAGCGCCCUGCAGGAGACGGGGGGAUGCAU